CAUACCUAGUACGUCCGAGGUCGAUAAAGGGUUAACCAAUCAUUGUUAUCAGGAGUAGUCCCAGAAGAUUGGAAGUUAGCAAAUGUUGUGCCUAUUCACAAGAAAGGUAGUAGGAAGGAGUUGGGCAACUAUAGGCCAGUAAGCCUUACUUCAGUAGUGGGGAAAGUAAUGGAAACCAUGUUAAAAGAUAGAAUUGUUAAACAUCUAAAAUCACAUGGAUUUCAAGAUCAGAGACAACAUGGGUUUACUUCUAUAUCUAUAUCUAUAUCUAUACAAGGAGCUUCUGUGUAAGAAGUGAUUCAUUUCACUAUCAACACACUUCAUA